rnacentral:rRNA from 1 species
CCUACGGGAGGCAGCAGUGAGGAAUAUUGGUCAAUGGACGAGAGUCUGAACCAGCCAAGUAGCGUGAAGGAUGACGGCCCUAUGAGUUGUAAACUUCUUUUAUAUGGGAAUAAAAUGUUACACGUGUGGGAUUUUGUAUGUACCAUAUGAAUAAGGAUCGGCUAACUCCGUGCCAGCAGCCGCGGUAAUACGGAGGAUCCGAGCGUUAUCCGGAUUUAUUGGGUUUAAAGGGAGCGUAGGUGGUUUGUGAAGUUAGUGGUGAAAGUUUGCGGCUCAACUGUAAAAUUGCAGUUGAAACUGGCAGUCUUGAGUUCAGUAGAGGUGGGCGGAAUUCGUGGUGUAGCGGUGAAAUGCUUAGAUAUCAUGCAGAACUCCGAUUGCGAAGGCAGCUCACUGGACUGCAACUGACACUGAGGCUCGAAAGUGUGGGUAGCAAACAGGAUUAGAUACCCUGGUAGUC